CCCCACUGCUAUCGGGGUGGGACUAAAACAUGCAAGUCGAGCGCCUUCAAGCUAUGGUGAAGGCGCGGCAAACGGCUCAGUAACACGUGGCCAACCUACCCUUGGGACGGAGACAACCCCGGGAAACUGGGGCUAAUCCCCGAUAGGUAAGGAAUCCUGGAAUGGAUCUUUGCUGAAAGGGCGUCUAGACCAUGCUUCUUGACGUCACCUAAGGAUGGAGCCGCGGCCGAUCAGGUAGUUGGCGAGGCAACGGCUCACCAAGCCUAUAACCGGUACGGGCCGUGAGAGCGGUAGCCCGGAGAUGGGCACUGAGACAAGGGCCCAGGCCCCACGGGGCGCAGCAGUUGCGAAAACUCCGCAAUGCGCGAAAGCGUGACGGGGCUACCCCGAGUGCCGCCCGUUGAGGGCGGCUUUUCCAUGGUGUAAGGAGCCGUGGGAAUAAGGAGAGGGCAAGACUGGUGUCAGCCGCCGCGGUAAUACCAGCUCUCCGAGUGGUAGGGAUGAUUAUUGGGCUUAAAGCGUCCGUAGCCGGCUUAGCAAGUCUCCUGUUAAAUUCAGCGACCUAAUCGUUGAGCCGCGGGAGAUACUACUAGGCUAGGAGGCGGGAGAGGUCGACGGUACUUCCGGGGUAGGGGUGAAAUCCUAUAAUCCCGGGCGGACCACCAGUGGCGAAGGCUGUCGACUAGAACGCGCUCGACGGUGAGGGACGAAAGCUGGGGGAGCGAACCGGAUUAGAUACCCGGGUAGUCC
rnacentral:rRNA from 1 species